rnacentral:rRNA from 1 species
UACAGAGGGUGCGAGCGUUGUCCGGAAUUAUUGGGCGUAAAGCGCGCGCAGGCGGUUUCUUAAGUCUGAUGUGAAAGCCCACGGCUUAACCGUGGAAGGUCAUUGGAAACUGGGAGACUUGAGUGCAGAAGAGAAGAGCGGAAUUCCACGUGUAGCGGUGAAAUGCGUAGAGAUGUGGAGGAACACCAGUGGCGAAGGCGGCUCUUUGGUCUGUAACUGACGCUGAGGCACGAAAGUGUGGGGAUCAAACAGG